rnacentral:rRNA from 1 species
GAUAAACGCUGGCGGCGUGCCUAAUACAUGCAAGUCGAGCGAGAAGACGUAGCAAUACGUUUGUAAAGCGGCGAACGGGUGAGGAAUACAUGGGUAACCUACCCUCGAGUGGGGAAUAACUAGCCGAAAGGUUAGCUAAUACCGCGUACGCUCCUUGGACUUCGGUUCAGGGAGGAAAGCGAUACCGUGGGUAUCGCGCUCUUGGAUGGGCUCAUGUCCUAUCAGCUUGUUGGUGAGGUAACGGCUCACCAAGGCUUCGACGGGUAGCUGGUCUGAGAGGACGAUCAGCCACACUGGCACUGCGACACGGGCCAGACUCCUACGGGAGGCAGCAGUAAGGAAUAUUGCGCAAUGGGCGAAAGCCUGACGCAGCGACGCCGC